UAGAUCUGAUACAGAAUAUGCUCUAGUGGACAGACCAGGGGUGGAUGUUCUGGGGCAAGUUCCCUCAAAGAAAAACUACGAAUGCAUUUGCCCCAACUGUCAGCGUCACUUAGCAGCCUCUAGAUUUGCUCCACAUCUGGAGAAAUGCAUGGGGAUGGGGCGAAACUCCUCAAGGAUAGCAAGUCGAAGAAUUGCAAAUAAUCAGAAACAGGGAAGUGAUGAAAGUGGUCAGGAUGAUGAAAAUGAUAAUGAUUGGAAUUAUUCAUCAGAACCAAAACGAAGUAAGGUUUUGUUCUAUUAUGGUAGCCAUAAUAAUGUCACAUUCCUACACCCUGGUCACUUAGUGAGAUGAUUUGUUAAUAAGUACAUUUAUUCUGAAAGGAAAAUAAAAAUAUCCAAAACUUUGGCUUUCUCUUUUUUUCUGAUUGACGUCAUCAGCAUAAUAAGCUGCAUAAUUUCAAUGUCAGCUAGGCUUUAAUGCUAUUCUUUCCAUCUGCGCCACCAACUGUGAAACAUCCAGUUUUGUUAAAUGCAAUUCUAAGCCAUUUCUUAAGUGAAAGGAGCUCUUUUUUUUAAGUGGAUUCAAAGCAAUUCUAAGCCAUUUCUUAAGUGAAAGGAGCCCUUUUUUUUAAGUAUCCUUCAUUUCAAUGAUGAAUAGAAAUUAAAAAGCUUAUUUUGAUAUAAGAUAAUUUUGCUUUAGUGAGUUAAAGAAAUAGAGUGACCUCAUAACAGAAAUGAACAUUACUUUUUGCUUUAGAUUUCUGUAGAAUUAAAGGGCAUUAAUACAACAAAGGCAAAAAAUGUAAGAAAAAAUGUAUCAUAAUUAUCUGUACAAUAAUUAAUAGUGACACUCCAGCUGUAA
rnacentral:sRNA from 1 species